UACGUAGGUGGCAAGCGUUGUCCGGAAUUACUGGGUGUAAAGGGCGUGUAGGCGGGGGUGCAAGUCAGAUGUGAAAUUCCGGGGCUCAACUCCGGGUCUGCAUCUGAAACUGUACUUCUUGAGUAUCGUAGAGGAAAGCGGAAUUCCCAGUGUAGCGGUGAAAUGCGUAGAGAUUGGGAGGAACACCAGUGGCGAAGGCGGCUUUCUGGACGAUAACUGACGCUGAGGCGCGAAAGCGUGGGGAGCAAACAGG
rnacentral:rRNA from 1 species